GAUGAACGCUGGCGGCGUGCCUAAUACAUGCAAGUCGAGCGAACAGACGAGGAGCUUGCUCCCCUGACGUUAGCGGCGGACGGGUGAGUAACACGUGGAUAACCUACCUAUAAGACUGGGAUAACUUCGGGAAACCGGAGCUAAUACCGGAUAAUAUAUUGAACCGCAUGGUUCAAUAGUGAAAGACGGUUUUGCUGUCACUUAUAGAUGGAUCCGCGCCGCAUUAGCUAGUUGGUAAGGUAACGGCUUACCAAGGCGACGAUGCGUAGCCGACCUGAGAGGGUGAUCGGCCACACUGGAACUGAGACACGGUCCAGACUCCUACGGGAGGCAGCAGUAGGGAAUCUUCCGCAAUGGGCGAAAGCUUGACGGAGCAACGCCGCGUGAGUGAUGAAGGUCUUCGGAUCGUAAAACUCUGUUAUUAGGGAAGAACAAAUGUGUAAGUAACUAUGCACGUCUUGACGGUACCUAAUCAGAAAGCCACGGCUAACUACGUG
rnacentral:rRNA from 1 species